GGAUUAUGGAGUUGCAGCACUGAACACAUUGCUAUACAAAUUAACUUUUCCUCCCUGUGCUUUCUAGUAAAAGCCAGGCAGCCUCCCCCCGGGGAAGGAAGUCAGCAAGCUCCUUUGCAACACACUCUCUGGUUCACAGGGUUCCAGUUUGAUCAGCCUUCCAUAGGGGGCUUUGCAGCCUGACUGGAGCAUGUGUCACAAUGGAAAGCAGCAACAUCUGGUAACAGACAAUGAGAUAUCAGAGAAGUGUGGCAGCACAACCUUGGAUGAAACUGGAAAUCAGGCAUGAAGCAAGAAAGGAGGGGAGCAACCAACCAGCCUCAGAUGCCAUUAAGAAAGGUGCUGCACUUUUUCUAAGUGUCAAUUGUUUUUGUGUCUCUUGAAGUAUAGAUGAUGUUUGAAUUCAGAGUAUUAAGUCCUGUGCCUGCUGUGUUAAAUUAUGGCCUGUGAGCGACUGGGUGGGGGUAAUCAAUGGCA
ensembl:lncRNA